rnacentral:rRNA from 1 species
GACGAACGCUGGCGGCGUGCUUAACACAUGCAAGUCGAACGGAAAGGCCCUGCUUUUGUGGGGUGCUCGAGUGGCGAACGGGUGAGUAACACGUGAGUAACCUGCCCUUGACUUUGGGAUAACUUCAGGAAACUGCGGCUAAUACCGGAUAGGAGCUCCUGCUGCAUGGUGGGGGUUGGAAAGUUUCGGCGGUUGUGGAUGGACUCGCGGCUUAUCAGCUUGUUGGUGGGGUAGUGGUUUACCAAGGCUUUGACGGGUAGCCGGCCUGGGAGGGUGACCGGCCACCUUGGGCCUGAGGUACGGCCCAGACGCCUACGGGCGGCAGCAGUGGGGAAUAUUGCACAAUGGGCGGAAGCCUGAUGCAACAACGCCGCGUGCGGGAUGACGGCCUUCGGGUUGUAAACCGCUUUCGCCUGUGACGAAGCGUGCGUGACGGUAAUGGGUAAAGAAGCACCGGCUAACUACGUG